GGACAUUUAGCUCAGUCGGGAGAGCAGUUGGCUCAUAACCAAAAGGUCCGGGGUUCGAGUCCCUGAAUGUCCA
rnacentral:tRNA from 1 species